CAGUAGCCGCGGGAAUACGGAGGGUGCAAGCGUUAAUCGGAAUUGCUGGGCGUAAAGCGCACGCAGGCGGUCUGUCAAGUCAGAUGUGAAAUCCCCGGGCUUAACCUGGGAACUGCAUUUGAAACUGGCAGGCUAGAGUCUUGUAGAGGGGGGUAGAAUUCCAGGUGUAGCGGUGAAAUGCGUAGAGAUCUGGAGGAAUACCGGUGGCGAAGGCGGCCCCCUGGACAAAGACUGACGCUCAGGUGCGAAAGCGUGGGGAGCAAACAGGAUUAGAUACCCGUGUAGUCCCUGUCUCUUAUAC
rnacentral:rRNA from 1 species